rnacentral:rRNA from 1 species
AGACCCGAAACCCGGUGAUCUAGCCAUGGGCAGGUUGAAGGUUGGGUAACACUAACUGGAGGACCGAACCGACUAAUGUUGAAAAAUUAGCGGAUGACCUGUGGCUGGGGGUGAAAGGCCAAUCAAACCGGGAGAUAGCUGGUUCUCCCCGAAAGCUAUUUAGGUAGCGCCUCGUGAAUUCAUCUCCGGGGGUAGAGCACUGUUUCGGCUAGGGGGCCAUCCCGGCUUACCAACCCGAUGCAAACUGCGAAUACCGGAGAAUGUUAUCACGGGAGACACACGGCGGGUGCUAACGUCCGUCGUGAAGAGGGAAACAACCCAGACCGCCAGCUAAGGUCCCAAAGUCAUGGUUAAGUGGGAAACGAUGUGGGAAGGCCCAGACAGCCAGGAUGUUGGCUUAGAAGCAGCCAUCAUUUAAAGAAAGCGUAAUAGCUCACUGGUCGAGUCGGCCUGCGCGGAAGAUGUAACGGGGCUAAACCAUGCACCGAAGCUGCGGCAGCGACACUCAGGUGUUGUUGGGUAGGGGAGCGUUCUGUAAGUCUGCGAAGGUGGCCUGUGAGGGUUGCUGGAGGUAUCAGAAGUGCGAAUGCUGACAUAAGUAACGAUAAAGCGGGUGAAAAGCCCGCUCGCCGGAAGACCAAGGGUUCCUGUCCAACGUUAAUCGG